rnacentral:rRNA from 1 species
GACGAACGCUGGCGGCGUGCCUAAUACAUGCAAGUCGAGCGAAGUUUUUCUGGUGCUUGCACUAGAAAAACUUAGCGGCGAACGGGUGAGUAACACGUAAAGAACCUGCCUCAUAGACUGGGACAACUAUUGGAAACGAUAGCUAAUACCGGAUAACAGUAUUUCUCGCAUGAGAGAUAUUUAAAAGUUGGUUAUGCUAACACUAUGAGAUGGCUUUGCGGUGCAUUAGCUAGUUGGCUGGGUAAAGGCCCACCAAGGCGACGAUGCAUAGCCGACCUGAGAGGGUGAUCGGCCACACUGGGACUGAGACACGGCCCAGACUCCUACGGGAGGCAGCAGUAGGGAAUCUUACGCAAUGGGCGAAAGCCUGACGGAGCAACGCCGCGUGAGUGAAGAAGGAUUUCGGUUCGUAAAGCUCUGUUGUUAGGGAAGAAUGGAUAUGUAGUAACUAUACAUGUAAGAGACGGUACCUAACAAGAAAGCCACGGCUAACUACGUG